GGCGACGUACCCAAGUGGUUAAGGGAAGGCUCUGCAAAAGCCUCAUUCGUCGGUUCGACCCCGACCGUCGCCUCCA
rnacentral:tRNA from 1 species